ACUCCUGCGGGAGGCAGCAGUGGGGAAUUUUGGACAAUGGGGGCAACCCUGAUCCAGCAAUGCCGCGUGAGUGAAGAAGGCCUUCGGGUUGUAAAGCUCUUUUGUCAGGGAAGAAACGGUAGUAGCGAAUAACUAUUACUAAUGACGGUACCUGAAGAAUAAGCACCGGCUAACUACGUGCCAGCAGCCGCGGUAAUACGUAGGGUGCAAGCGUUAAUCGGAAUUACUGGGCGUAAAGCGUGCGCAGGCGGUUGUGUAAGUCAGAUGUGAAAUCCCCGGGCUCAACCUGGGAAUUGCAUUUGAGACUGCACGGCUAGAGUGUGUCAGAGGGGGGUAGAAUUCCACGUGUAGCAGUGAAAUGCGUAGAUAUGUGGAGGAAUACCGAUGGCGAAGGCAGCCCCCUGGGAUAACACUGACGCUCAUGCACGAAAGCGUGGGGAGCAAACAGGAUUAGAUACCCUUGUAGUCCCAUGAU
rnacentral:rRNA from 1 species